AGCCAAAAGAAUGCUCAAACUCCUUUUGCUCCUUUUUACUAUCCAAUUAUGCACACCAUUCCACGUGGUUCCCAUGAGCUACUCGAUUUUGUCGGAGAACACUGAAAGUGUCAUCGAUUUGGCCGGAAAAGUUAGCGAGAAGAGGUAAGUGCCUGCCUAUUGUAGGCAGGCGUAGGCGACCUAUUCUCCUCUAAACUUUCUACCUUCCAGAUUCUACCUUCACAUUACCAAUGAAGCUUCCCCAUUUUUUAUGUAUGUUACGCCGUGCGGAGCUGCGGUUCACUGGCAACUUUUCACAAUGGAUAAGGGUAAGUUUCCGGGUCAUUUUUUUUUCUGAAAUCAUUAAAAAUUAGUAUUUUCCAGAUAUUAGCAUGUCUGAAGAGUUCGAUACUAUUUCCGACAUGUCAAAUUCGCUGGAAGAAUCUGAAAAAUUCAAGUUGAUCGCCGGAGAGGAUGAUAAGAAGAGAAUGACGUUUUUUGCGCAUAGUUUGCCGAAAAG
rnacentral:sRNA from 1 species